rnacentral:lncRNA from 1 species
GGGGACUAAUCAGGGCCUUGAAUGCCAUGUAGACUCUCCUUCUGUUAUAUGAGAUUCUGUGUGUUUUCUUCAGUCUUAGUCUUAUUAACUUAUAUUCGUUUACUCAAACAAAUUAUAAAUAAAUGAUUGCUGGCACCUCUAGUUUAUGUAUGAUUAUAUUAUGUGAAUGGAGAAGGCCUUAUUUUUUUCUCCCUUCUUCUCAACCCCCUCUACCUUCUAUGUUCUUAGGGAUGAAUUGGCUUGGGUACGGCUUGUAUCCAACACUAGCCCACUCAUCUGUGUUUAAAGGCUGGGAUUAACGUUGGACCAAAAUGGUGACUUCUCUUGCAACUUCAUGGGUAAAGGGAGAAGGAAGUGAUCUCAGAAAUGUCUUACAUCUUUAAAGCAGCAAGUCUGUCCCCUUCGUGCUCAUUGAGAAUAUCUGAUACCUUCAUGUUUGGACUCAUCCAGCCCCCAUCUCCUCAGUCUAUCUCAGAUCUGACGGUGGAGGCUGCUUUGUCCAGGACCAACCUUUUCUCUUGCCUCAUUUCUGUUAUGCCAGCUGAUGAAGAGCAUGCUAUGCCCUCAGCUUCUUGGACUUCACCCUGGCCCUGGAAGUCUGCCGGAAAUCACUGAGGGUUUCUGUAUUGUUGAAUGAUGCGAUCUGCCUUCCUUUGGGAAGAUAACCUUGUCCUGGGGUUAGGAAGAGGAGGAAGAGCUCUACACCCACCUGAUCUCAAUGUUCCAGAGAGACUUCUUCUAUCAGCCUGGAUACUUGUGUCAGCUGCUGUAACUUCUGAAAUCAGGACACGUGAGUCUUCCAACUUCUCACUUUUUCAAGAUUGUUUUGGCUAUUUAGGAACCCUCUUGUUUGCACAUGACUUUUCUGAUCAGUGUGUCAAGAGUAGAAUUUUAAUAGGCCUUGUAUUGAGUAUGCAGAACAGUUCGGGGUGUGUUGCCACCUUAACAAUAUUAAGUUUUCUGAUCCAUGAAUGCAUUGUAUCUUUCCAUUUUUAA